rnacentral:rRNA from 1 species
UACAGAGGGGGCAAGCGUUGUUCGGAAUUACUGGGCGUAAAGGGCGCGUAGGCGGCCUGUUAAGUCGACCGUGAAAUCCCCGGGCUCAACCCGGGAACUGCGUCCGAUACUGGCAGGCUUGAAUUCGGGAGAGGGAUGUGGAAUUCCAGGUGUAGCGGUGAAAUGCGUAGAUAUCUGGAGGAACACCGGUGGCGAAGGCGGCAUCCUGGACCGAUAUUGACGCUGAUGCGCGAAAGCCAUGGGAGCAAACGGG